rnacentral:rRNA from 1 species
AUGAGUUGCCUCAGCUGGAACUGCCAGGGGCUUGGGAACCCCGAGGCAGUUCGGGAGCUUCGCAGCAUUGUGAAGUAGGAAGGGCCCGGUCUCUUAUUUCUUAUGGAGACCAAAAUUUCAGCCAAGAGAGUGAAGAAUCUACAGAACUCUCUUGGUUUUGCGGGAUGUUUUACGGUAAGCAGCGUUGGACUCAGUGGGGGACUAGGUUUGUUCUGGUCUGCUGAGCUAGAUGUUGAGCUCAAAAAUUAUAGUUCUGCCCAUAUCGAUGUUAUGGUGUAG